rnacentral:rRNA from 1 species
UACGAAGGGGGCUAGCGUUGUUCGGAAUUACUGGGCGUAAAGGGCGCGUAGGCGGCGUGUCAAGUCAGGCGUGAAAGCCCCGGGCUCAACCUGGGAACCGCGCUUGAGACUGGCAUGCUCGAGUUCGGGAGAGGAUGGUGGAAUUCCCAGUGUAGAGGUGAAAUUCGUAGAUAUUGGGAAGAACACCAGUGGCGAAGGCGGCACACUGGCCCAUUACUGACGCUGAGGCUCGAAAGCGUGGGGAGCAAACAGG